AAUCGUUGACGCGCAGUGUACAUCACUAAUGUAGCAGAGCAAAAAUCAAAAAUCGUGAGAAAAGAUUGUGAGCUUGCACAUGUGCAGUAGCGCAAGCCAGCGCAACAGGCCUCAAUAGCGUAUCACAUGUCUGCUAAGAUCGUCACGUGGGAUAGUAUCGGUGGAAUGUUUCCCGAUCUAUCCUCCAUAAGCGUGCCAUAGUGAUUACUGUGAUCAGUAUUGCCGGUUAUUUCAGGAGCUUGAAAUCUUUUUACAAUAAGUGGAAGAAUAUAGGUGGAUACGUUAACACCAGUUUUUUAUUCUUGCGAAACAUCAGUUUGAAGGUUUUUGGACAUAAGCUGAUUUCGAUGAUACACCAAAGAAACUAGAACUAACCCUGGAGUGGAAAAUAAAGAAUAAAAUUUAUUCUUUAUACUAUAAGAAGUACCUAUAAUUUCUUAAGCCAGAUUUAUGAUUUUUUUUUAAUUAUUAAUGAAUGAAACAACUGUACAUACUUUUUUAAUUUUUAAU
rnacentral:lncRNA from 1 species